CCAGGAAGAUUCUACAGCUACGCCCCUCUCAAUGCUUCAAAAGCUCAAGUGCUGAUGGAGGUCAGAGAGCAGCUGCCGAGGUCGAAAAGGAUGCGCUCGCACCCCGAGAAGUGCAACCCAAAAAAAUUUGCCUCUAUCAUCCUGACCACGACCAUGACACAGAGGAGUGUAUUCAGCUUCGAGAUGAAAUCGAAGAGCUCAUCAGGCAGGGUCGGCUCGACAGAUUCAUCCGACACCAGCCUGAAAGUAGGGGGGAUCGGAUGAGGGCCCUGUCGCAAUCAGAGCCGCCAAGGAGGGAGGAGCAGCCUGAAG
rnacentral:lncRNA from 1 species